AUUCUUAAUCACUCUCUUAUUCUUAAUCUUUCUCUCUUAUUCUUAAUCUUUCUCUCUUCUUAAUCUCUCUCUCUCUCCUUUCUCCUUGCCUCGACAUUAUCUUCCUCCUGACUCACUUUCUUCGCUUGUUUUUCAUUCAACCUUUAAGAAAAUUUGCAUUGGGGACAUAUUUUAGGGUUGCGCAGUCAGUAGUCAUUUUUCAUGGCAUUUGGCUGUGAGUUAUGGUAAAUACCCUCCCCUAGUCAUUUUUCUGUUUAUUUUUUUGUUUCAGGCAAGUAAUGCUGUAGUUUUUUGGAAACUUGAAAAUUACUUGAAUAAUGAACUUUAUUUUUAUGUCCUGCUCUCUCCCUCUCUUCCCCUUGCUUAGCAACCGUAGGGUCCAAGCAGGAACAAGGUACUCCGGCUCUUCACAGUGAUGUGUGUUCAAUGAGGACAGUUCCUCUUUCUCUCCUCCUCCUCCUCAUCCCACUCUUGAACUUCCUCUCUAUCUAACAUCCCUCUAUUCAAGCUGACCUCCUGAGUAUCUACCAUGCCCACUGUAGAUGGCCUGCCUCACCCACUCAGUCCCUACUUUAAACUAUCCACACCUAAUAGGGAGGCCAAGUCUUCAUUUCAGACUCUAAAAUGACUGCAAUAGGGUAGACUUCAACACUACACACACUCCAACUACACACACUCCAACACAUCACCUGUUUUUUCUGGGGUGGCAUGAAUCUUUCUCUUCUUGGUCUCCUCUUUUCUCUCUGUCCACUCUCUCCUCUCAUUCCCCCUCUUCCAUCCCUCGCUCUUGACUAAGCUCCCUCUGAAACAGACUGACACUAAUCUUUCUCUUCUUGGUCUCCUCUUUUCUCCCUGUCCACUCUCUCCUCUCGUUCCCCCUCUUCCAUCCCUCGCUCCUGACUAAGCUCCCUCUGAAACAGACUGACACUAAUCUACCAUCAAAGCUCUCAUUCUUCAUUUCCCACCUUUAUGCACUCCAUCCUGUAGACUCCAUCUGUGUCGUCUCUCUCUCUUCCCUCUCUCUCUCUCUCUCUGUCUCUGUGAGUGUGAACAUAAUGUGCCAGCUGAGCCAAAGUGGACCAUCCAGACGUUGUUCUGUUGAAUUACUACGGAGAGGACCAGACUUGGAGUUGACUGGCUGUCAGAGUUGACUGCUUCUGAACACAACCAUGUUUUUGAGUUGACCUCAUUGGAUUUGAAAGUCAUUGUUUUCUAGAUGAAAAACAAACAAAAAAUUUGUAUCCAUUGUGGGACCAACUGUUAAACACAGUAACACCAAACGUUGAUACAACUUAAUUAAAAAAGUUAACCAGUGACGACACUGCCUAAACCAGGAUAUGCUGUGUGAGUGGAACCCUGGGAAUGAUGAACUAGAAUAUUGUGACUGUUCUGCUACGCCCUCUACUGGGAUCAUACUGGUUAGACUGGUCCAACUGUUCUGUAACACCUGACACUCUGGGAUUGGAGAAUAGACCAUGCUACUCUGUGGUCUUCAUCUGACCAUAUCUGGAAUUAACUGGACUGUGUCUGGUGGUUUACCUCUGUCUUAAAAGGCAAUCAAAUGGAAUUGUGGGAAACACACUGAGGGUACCGCCUCACUUCACCUCACACGCUCCGAACCACAUCGGCUGAUUGACAGAUGCUCCUCACCAACCAGGUGUGCAGGUACAGUAUUUAGACUGUCUGCUGAGCACUUAACCAGGCGAGGACCUCUACCAAUGAGAAGAGGCCGGUGAGCUGGUGUUUGUUUGAAUAGAGGUUUUUGAUUUAGUGUAGUAAAGAUUCUGCUUUAGGUGUUUCAGUUAAAUAUUGAUGUUUUGUAGAGGUUCUGUAAUGUUGGCAUCCAUUUUGAUUAUUUGAAACAUCCUGAAAAAAAUCUAAAAAUGUACAUGGCUGAACUUUUUUAUACAAAUGUUUACAGGUCUAGAUUUAGAUUGCUUUUGUUUAUAGUGCUAUCAAGAAUAACUAAAGCACUUUAGUACAGGUUACCCUGUAUUUUUCUUUCAGUUAUAAAACAUACAUUUUUAUCAUCUUUUCCUUAAAAAAAUAGCGUUAAAAAAGCCAUUAUAUUAUCAAAGCAAUUUAAAUGAAUUCAUUUUAUUUUGAUUGUUUCAUAUAUUUUAUCUGUUGGUUAGAUAUGACAUUUUUGAAUGUAUUACUUCAAUACAAUUUCAUGUUCCAAUCACAAAAGUAAUAUAUCACUAAAGUUAAUUUACAGUAGAAGUGUUACAAAUAUCACCAACCUAGCAAACAUGCAUGUUUUCUUUUCAAAAGUGAAACUGAAAUUAUUAACUGAAAUUAUUCUUAAUAAUUUAAUCCCACAAAAAAUAGUGUAUAUUUAAUUUAAUUCAUAAUUCUGAUUAGUUUCUUACCUUAAUCCAACAUCAUUAAUCAUUCUUAAAUACAGGCUUUUCUGGGCUGUAGUUUUUCCCACAUUCUAAUGUUGUCUUUGGUAACAGCAUUUAGAAAACAAUGUUUUCCUUGAGAAUAAAUAUGUUGACUAUUAGUUAUUCCUGUAAGUACUUACUCAGAGAGAUGAGUCUGUAGUAUUACUUUACACACACUUUUGGAUAUCAAUAUGCUUCAAUGACAGUUAAAUAUUUUGUUCUAGUCUACGCAGGUUAUUCAGUAAUAUAGGGGUUUGGAUGUCUGGAACCUUGUUGUAUAAAGCUGGUGCUCCCAGAUUGAGUUUUUUUUGUUUUCACAUUUUAGUGAAGUAUGAAGCAUCUUCUAUGAAGAGCGAACUGCAAACUGAGCCCUUUUAUACAAGGUGAGAUGACGAAAUAAAGAUGAUUGCAAUAAGACUGAAA